rnacentral:rRNA from 1 species
UACGUAGGGAGCAAGCGUUGUCCGGAAUCAUUGGGCGUAAAGCGCGCGUAGGCGGCCCUGUAAGUCCGUUGUGAAAGUCAAAGGCUCAACCUUUGAAAGCCGAUGGAUACUGCAGGGCUAGAGUCCGGAAGAGGCGAGUGGAAUUCCUGGUGUAGCGGUGGAAUGCGCAGAUAUCAGGAAGAACACCAAUGGCGAAGGCAGCUCUCUGGGACGGUACUGACGCUGAGACGCGAAAGCGUGGGGAGCAAACAGG